rnacentral:rRNA from 1 species
GACGAACCGUCCCAAACGUUAUUCGGAAUUACUGGGCUUAAAGGGUGCGUAGGCGGCCUGACAAGUUGGGUGUGAAAUACCUCGGCUCAACCGAGGAACAGCGCUCAAAACUGUCAGGCUUGAGGGAGAUAGAGGUGAGCGGAACUUAAGGUGGAGCGGUGAAAUGCGUUGAUAUCUUAAGGAACACCCGUGGCGAAAGCGGCUCACUGGAUCUCUUCUGACGCUCAUGCACGAAAGCUAGGGGAGCAAACAGGAUUAG